UAUGUGGCCCCCUAUAUUUUAUCCUUUCCUUAAUUCUCUUAUUCUUCUAAAUUGAUUUUCCUCCCUAAAAUUCACGUGCUCUCCUUCCAUCGUAACAGAAUUUGAUUCUUUUUUAUCACAAUUUUAAAUUGAUUCCUUCUGCUCACACAUUCCUUCCUCUCCAAGUUGAAAUCCCUUUUCUUAUAUAUAGAUCCCAGCCGCAGAAGCCACCGUCCUUCAUCUCUGUUCCGCCGGUCAACCACCAAUUCGUCUCCUUCACCACCGAAAACACCAUAACCAUAUUUUGUUCCUGUUUGUCUCUCCAAAAACAGAGCAACAAGGCUCGAUAAGUUACGCCGGACAACUCCGAAAGAUCUGAACGCAAAGUUUUGGUUUACUCUUUGUGCGUCGGUACUCUCUUGUUUGAGUAGGAUUCGAGUUCGUCGGCAAGGUUUGAGUUUCUCCUGUGGAGUUCGAUCAAUCUGCCACCUGUUCGAGGUCUCCAUUCGAUUUUCCGGUCCAAGCCACGUUCUUCAAUUUUGGUGGAGAUCUAGUUGGCUAUUCUGUCCCAUUGCGUUGCCAAACUAUCAAACAAUUAAAUUUCAGGUUCAUUUGAGAUCCAGGUGGAUUGAUAGUAGUUGUGCGGGUCGUUGCGGUGGAGACUUAAGGUAAACUUGUUGCAGCGUUCGCAGGUCUCAAAGUCACCUUCACUUGUAUUUACUUCCAUUUGCUCCUUUGUUUCGGGGCAGUGAUGUAUUAUUUUUGUGAAAUUACUCUUAGAUAGGCUUGUGACUUGUACCACCGGUUUUGGGAAUUUUGAUUUAUUCAGAGUUGGUUAAUUUAAAGUUA